rnacentral:rRNA from 1 species
AGAGUUUGAUCAUGGCUCAGAUUGAACGCUGGCGGCAGGCCUAACACAUGCAGUCGAGCGGAACGGCAGCAUUGAAGCUUCGGUGGAUUUGCUGGACGUCGAGCGGCGGACGGGUGAGUAACGGCUGGGAACCUGCCCUGACGAGGGGGAUAACCGUUGGAAACGACGGCUAAUACCGCAUAAUGUCUUAGUUCAUUACGAGCUGGGACCAAAGGUGGCCUCUACAUGUAAGCUAUCGCGUUGGGAUGGGCCCAGUUAGGAUUAGCUAGUUGGUAAGGUAAUGGCUUACCAAGGCGACGAUCCUUAGCUGGUUUGAGAGGAUGAUCAGCCACACUGGGACUGAGACACGGCCCAACUCCUACGGGAGGCAGCAGUGGGGAAUAUUGCACAAUGGGGGAGACCCUGAUGCAGCCAUGCCGCGUGUGUGAAGAAGGCCUUCGGGUUGUAAAGCACUUUCAGCAGUGAGGAAGGUGGUGUACUUAAUAAGUGCAUGGCUUGACGUUAGCUGCAGAAGAAGCACCGGCUAACUCCGUGCCAGCAGCCGCGGUAAUACGGAGGGUGCGAGCGUUAAUCGGAAUUACUGGGCGUAAAGCGCAUGCAGGCGGUUUGUUAAGUCAGAUGUGAAAGCCCGGGGCUCAACCUCGGAACCGCAUUUGAAACUGGCAGGCUAGAGUCUUGUAGAGGGGGGUAGAAUUUCAGGUGUAGCGGUGAAAUGCGUAGAGAUCUGAAGGAAUACCAGUGGCGAAGGCGGCCCCCUGGACAAAGACUGACGCUCAGAUGCGAAAGCGUGGGUAGCAAACAGGAUUAGAUACCCUGGUAGUCCACGCCGUAAACGCUGUCUACUUGGAGGUUGAGGUUUAGACUUUGGCUUUCGGCGCUAACGCAUUAAGUAGACCGCCUGGGGAGUACGGCCGCAAGGUUAAAACUCAAAUGAAUUGACGGGGGCCCGCACAAGCGGUGGAGCAUGUGGUUUAAUUCGAUGCAACGCGAAGAACCUUACCUACUCUUGACAUCCAGCGAAUCCUUUAGAGAUAGAGGAGUGCCCUCGGGAGCGCUGAGACAGGUGCUGCAUGGCUGUCGUCAGCUCGUGUUGUGAAAUGUUGGGUUAAGUCCCGCAACGAGCGCAACCCUUAUCCUUGUUUGCCAGCACGUAAUGGUGGGAACUCCAGGGAGACUGCCGGUGAUAAACCGGAGGAAGGUGGGGACGACGUCAAGUCAUCAUGGCCCUUACGAGUAGGGCUACACACGUGCUACAAUGGCAGAUACAGAGGGCAGCGAAGCUGCGAAGUGGAGCGAAUCCCUUAAAGUUUGUCGUAGUCCGGAUUGGAGUCUGCAACUCGACUCCAUGAAGUCGGAAUCGCUAGUAAUCGUGGAUCAGAAUGCCACGGUGAAUACGUUCCCGGGCCUUGUACACACCGCCCGUCACACCAUGGGAGUGGGCUGCACCAGAAGUAGAUAGCUUAACC